ACUUGAAUUGAAGAGUUUGAUCAUGGCUCAGAUUGAACGCUGGCGGCAGGCUUAACACAUGCAAGUCGAACGGUAGCAGGAGAAAGCUUGCUUUCUUGCUGACGAGUGGCGGACGGGUGAGUAAUGCUUGGGAAUCUGGCUUAUGGAGGGGGAUAACGACGGGAAACUGUCGCUAAUACCGCGUAUUAUCGGAAGAUGAAAGUGCGGGACUGAGAGGCCGCAUGCCAUAGGAUGAGCCCAAGUGGGAUUAGGUAGUUGGUUGGGUAAAUGCCUACCAAGCCUGCGAUCUCUAGCUGGUCUGAGAGGAUGACCAGCCACACUGGAACUGAGACACGGUCCAGACUCCUACGGGAGGCAGCAGUGGGGAAUAUUGCGCAAUGGGGGGAACCCUGACGCAGCCAUGCCGCGUGAAUGAAGAAGGCCUUCGGGUUGUAAAGUUCUUUCGGUAUUGAGGAAGGUUGAUGUGUUAAUAGCACAUCAAAUUGACGUUAAAUACAGAAGAAGCACCGGCUAACUCCGUGCCAGCAGCCGCGGUAAUACGGAGGGUGCGAGCGUUAAUCGGAAUAACUGGGCG
rnacentral:rRNA from 1 species